CUCAGGCUCUCUGCAAGCGAGCAGGAUGCUGCGGAGGACGCUGCCGGCGUUGCGCUCGGCGAAGGAUGGCGUGGCAGGCGCGGCUCGGCAGGCCGGCGGCAAGGGAGACACGCACUUCCCGUCGCUGCGUGGACACCCGGCCGCGCGCGCCAACGCCCGCGAGGCCGCCGAGGGGCAGGCGCGGCUGUCGGCGGCGGAGGAGGAGCGCGGGCGCGGCGGCAGGCCGCCGACCACGGUGAAGGAGUUCCAGGUGUACCGGUGGAACCCGGACUCGCCGGCGGGGCGGCCGUUCCUGCAGUCCUACCUGGUGGACCUGGCCAGCUGCGGGCCCAUGGUGCUGGACGUGCUGCAGAAGAUCAAGGCGGAGCAGGACCCGACGCUGGCGUUCCGGCGGUCGUGCCGGGAGGGCAUCUGCGGGUCGUGCGCGAUGAGCGUCGACGGCGUGAACACGGUGGCGUGCCUCAAGCCCGUGGACGCGGACGCGUCGCGGCCGAGCAUGGUCACGCCGCUGCCGCACAUGUACGUGGUCAAGGACCUGGUCGUGGACCUCACCGCCUUCUACCAGCAGUACAAGUCCGUCGAGCCGUGGCUCAAGACCAGGGGCCCGCCGCCCAAGGACCGCGAGCACCCGCAGUCGCCGGCGCAGCGGAAGAGGCUGGACGGGCUGUACGAGUGCAUCCUGUGCGCGUGCUGCAGCACGGCGUGCCCGUCCUACUGGUGGAACUCGGAGGCGUUCCUGGGCCCCGCCGCGCUGCUGCACGCCUACCGCUGGGUCUCCGACAGCCGGGACCACUACGGCGAGCAGCGGGUGCAGUCGCUGUCGGAAGGCUGGGACAAGAUGUACAGGUGCAGGAUGAUCAAGAGCUGCACGGCGACGUGCCCCAAGAGCCUCGACCCCGCCGCGGCCAUCUCGGCCAUGAAGGCAUUGCACCAGCUCCGAAAGGCCUGACUAGUCAGGAGACAGCCCUGAAACACGGACAACGUGUGUGUUCAUCUGGGAACAAAAAUGUUUCGCGUUACCGAAUUUCAUUACUACGUACCUGCACAGUUAGGGCUUGUUCGAUUCUACCCCAAUCCAUAUGGAUUGAGGGGGUUUCAAUCCCUAGCAAGUCAAAAUCCCUCACAAUCCGUAUCAAUCCCCUUCAAUCCAUAUGGAUUGAAAAUAACCGAACAAGCCCUUACUGGGAAACAACAAAUUUUAUUUCGGUGGUAGUAUCUGAAUAGGCGGCAACUAACUGGGACACUAAUCAUUCAACUGAAAGCCACAAUUCCAGUCAAUCCUCCCAUGGGAGCUUGACAUCGCCAGUAUUAUGCUGUCUCCAGCAUAUAUGGUCGCGUGUAAAACAGUUUCACAUUUAAUGAAGCAGGUUAUUAGGAGCGAGUAGGGUCGCGUGUAAAGCAGUUUCACAG
rnacentral:misc_RNA from 1 species